GCCCCAGUAACGGCGAGUGAGCGGCAACAGCUCAAAUUUGAAAUCUGGCUUCGGCCCGAGUUGUAAUUUGUAGAGGAUGCUUUUGGUGAGGUGCCUUCUGAGUUCCCUGGAACGGGACGCCAGAGAGGGUGAGAGCCCCGUAUAGUUGGACACCGAGCCUCUGUAAAGCUCCUUCGACGAGUCGAGUAGUUUGGGAAUGCUGCUCAAAAUGGGAGGUAUAUCUCUUCUAAAGCUAAAUACUGGCCAGAGACCGAUAGCGCACAAGUAGAGUGAUCGAAAGAUGAAAAGCACUUUGAAAAGAGGGUUAAAUAGUACGUGAAAUUGUUGAAAGGGAAGCGCUUGUGACCAGACUUGUGCCCGGCUGAUCAUCCAGUGUUCUCACUGGUGCACUCUGCCGGGCUCAGGCCAGCGUCGGUUCUCGCAGGGGGACAAAAGCUUCGGGAACGUAGCUCCUCCGGGAGUGUUAUAGCCCGUUGCUCAAUACCCCUGCGGGGACCGAGGUUCGCGCUCUGCAAGGACGCUGGCAUAAUGGUCAUCAGCGGCCCGUCUUGAAACACGGACCAAGGAGUCGAGGUUUUGCGCGAGUGUUUGGGUGUAAAACCCGCACGCGUAAUGAAAGUGAACGUAGGUGAGAGCUUCGGCGCAUCAUCGACCGAUCCUGAUGUAUUCGGAUGGAUUUGAGUAAGAGCGUAUAGCCUCGGACCCGAAAGAUGGUGAACUAUGCCUGAAUAGGGUGAAGCCAGAGGAAACUCUGGUGGAGGCUCGCAGCGGUUCUGACGUGCAAAUCGAUCGUCAAAUUUGGGCAUGGGGGCGAAAGACUAAUCGAACCAUCUAGUAGCUGGUUACCGCCGAAG
rnacentral:rRNA from 1 species